rnacentral:rRNA from 1 species
CCUACGGGAGGCAGCAGUGGGGAAUUUUGGACAAUGGGCGAAAGCCUGAUCCAGCGACGCCGCGUGCGGGAGGAAGCCCCUCGGGGUGUAAACCGCUGUCAGGGGGGAAGAAAAGGUCCGGACGAAUAAUCCGGGCUCUUGACGGUACCCCCAGAGGAAGCGCCGGCUAACUCCGUGCCAGCAGCCGCGGUAAUACGGAGGGCGCAAGCGUUGUCCGGAAUUACUGGGCGUAAAGGGGGCGCAGGCGGCUUGUUAAGUCCUGUGUGAAAGCCCGCGGCUCAACCGCGGAAAGCCACAGGAUACUGGCGAGCUUGAGACGGGUAGAGGCGAGUGGAAUUCCCGGUGUAGCGGUGGAAUGCGUAGAUAUCGGGAAGAACACCAGUGGCGAAGGCGACUCGCUGGGCCCGUUCUGACGCUCAGGCCCGAAAGCGUGGGGAGCAAACAGGAUUAGAUACCCUGGUAGUCCACGCCGUAAACGAUGGGCACUAGGUGCUGGGGAGUGUGACCUCUUCGGUGCCGUAGCUAACGCGUUAAGUGCCCCGCCUGGGGAGUACGGCCGCAAGGCUGAAACUCAAAGGAAUUGACGG